UUCUCUACUUGAAGGGCUUUAGAACGUUUUGUCUCCGUUUCAUUCCCAGGUUUAACCUGCUAAGGCAGCAUGUUGCUGCUUCCACUCUUUCUUGCAGCUUCGCUUUGGUCCCGUGGAGACACAUGGACAGUGCCGGUGCAAACCCCAACGCUGCAAAGGCAGAUGCAGGGCACAUCCACCAGCAUGUUGUGCCAAUUGCAAGCUGAAGACACUGUGCACUGGUACAAGCAUCUUCCCGGAAAGCCACCAACGAGGAUACUGUAUGUGUGGGGACAGUCACCUACUUUUGAUCAGAGAAGCGAUAGCAGGAGAUUUGAAGUUCAGAAACAUCCUACUAAGUAUCAUUAUACUCUCACGAUAAAGGAUUUGACUCCAAGGGAUUCUGGUACUUACUACUGUGCGUAUUGGCAUUACAGAGGCAUCACAGCGUUAGUUGGGCAAAGAUAAGCUGUACAAAAAGGUGCUUUGUGACUGAACCGCAAGCUCUGAACUCUGCUAAAAAUACUUGCCUAUUCCCGCCUCUCUCUCUCAUGAUUUUCUGCAGCAGGAUACACAA